GUGACCUCAAAUCAGGUAGGACUACCCGCUGAACUUAAGCAUAUCAAUAAGCGGAGGAAAAGAAACUAACAAGGAUUCCCCUAGUAACUGCGAGUGAAGCGGGAAAAGCUCAAAUUUAAAAUCUGGCAGUCUUUUGGCUGUCCGAGUUGUAAUCUAGAGAAGUGUUAUCCGCGCUGGACCAUGUACAAGUCUCCUGGAAUGGAGCAUCAUAGAGGGUGAGAAUCCCGUCUUUGACAUGGACUUCCAGGGCUUUGUGAUGCGCUCUCAAAGAGUCGAGUUGUUUGGGAAUGCAGCUCAAAAUGGGUGGUAAAUUCCAUCUAAAGCUAAAUAUUGGCGAGAGACCGAUAGCGAACAAGUACCGUGAGGGAAAGAUGAAAAGAACUUUGGAAAGAGAGUUAAACAGUACGUGAAAUUGCUGAAAGGGAAACGCUUGAAGUCAGUCGCGUCGUCCAGGGAUCAACCUUGCUUUUGCUUGGUGCACUUCCUGGUUUGAUGGGUCAGCAUCAAUUUUGACUAUUGGAAAAAGGUUAAGGGAAUGUGGCAUCUUUGGAUGUGUUUAUAGCCCUUGGUCACAUACAAUGGUUGGGAUUGAGGAACUCAGCACGCCGCAAGGCCGGGUUUAAACCACGUACGUGCUA
rnacentral:rRNA from 1 species